rnacentral:tRNA from 1 species
ACCAAUGUGGCAGAACUAUAUGCUCUAGAUUUAAGCUCUAAAGAUGGGUAUUAUGACCCUUUUGGU